rnacentral:rRNA from 1 species
CUAGUUGGUGAGGUAACGGCUCACCAAGGCGAUGACGGGUAGCUGGUCUGAGAGGAUGGCCAGCCACAUUGGGACUGAGAAACGGCCCAGACUCCUACGGGAGGCAGCAGUGGGGAAUCUUGCGCAAUGGUCGAGAGACUGACGCAGCGACGCCGCGUGCGGGAGGACGCCCUUCGGGGUGUAAACCGCUGUUACCCGGGACGAAUCCAGGAUUCAUUCCUGUUGACGGUACCGGGGGAGGAAGCACCGGCUAACUCUGUGCCAGCAGCCGCGGUAAUACAGAGGGUGCGAGCGUUGUCCGGAAUCACUGGGCGUAAAGGGCGCGUAGGCGGGCGAUCAAGCGUGCGGUGAAAGCUCGGGGCUCAACUCCGAGUCGGUCGUGCGAACUGGUUGUCUGGAGUCCGGUAGAGGCUGAUGGAAUUCCGGGUGUAGCGGUGGAAUGCGUAGAGAUCCGGAAGAACACCGGUGGCGAAGGCGGUCAGCUGGGCCGGUACUGACGCUGAUGCGCGACAGCGUGGGGAGCAAACAGGAUUGGAUACCCUGGUAGUCCACGCCGUAAACGAUGGGCACUAGAUCCUUGGGGGAGCGACCCCGUGAGGGUCGGCGCUAACGCAUUAAGUGCCCCGCCUGGGGAGUACGGCCGCAAGGCUGAAACUCAAAGGAAUUGACG